rnacentral:rRNA from 1 species
GUCUGGUCUGCCCGGUGUAUAUAUUAACGGCCGCGGUAUACUGACUGUGCAAAGGUAGCAUAAUCACUUGCCCUUUAAAUGGGGGAAUGUAUGAAUGAUUAGACGAGGUUUAGACUGUCUUUUUUUUAUUUAUUGAGGUUACAAUGCUUGUGAAAAUGCGAGCAAAUUUUUAACGGACGAGAAGACCCUGUUGAGCUUUUAAAGGGUACGGAGGUGGGAGUUAACUUAAACAAUUUAUUGUUAUUAAAAUACGCAUGUUUGAUAAUUUUUUUGGCUGGGGUGGCAAGCAAAGGGAUUAAGCUUUGCUGUGAAAUUUAUUUAUAACUAAAGAUGGAUUAUAUCAAGAGUUAAUAGGUUGAUCCACUAUAUAAGUGAUUAAGAGAAUAAGUUACCACAGGGAUAACAGCGUUAUUCUUUUUGAGAGCUCGAAUUGACAAAAGAGUUUGCGACCUCAAUGUUGG